rnacentral:lncRNA from 1 species
UUUGGUGCGCCGCCCCUAGACUCCCUCCAACUCGCGAGAGGCUCCCAAAAAUGCCCACCCAGACCUUCCCCCACGGCCCAGCACACUCCCGGUGACUUACCCUGUAGGUUACGCCCCAGAAGCAGGACUUUCUGCCUCUGGGAAAACUCUAAAACCGUUCACCCGGAACCUUUACUUCAGAAAAAUUAACCUCACGCUGAGGCAUCAUUUUUAAAUGUUAUAUUCUGAAAAAUUUGAACCCAUGACGUCGGGAGUGGAGGAGAGACAAAUCGGACACUCUAGGAGAUCCAUGAAGACCUUUAUCAGUUAAAGGAGAAAUUAACAAAAUUCUCACCUGAGGAAAAAGGAGAGACUCUAGACAUUCAGAGUCUUGAAACAGCAAUCAAAAGGACUGAAGUGGGGUUAAGAAUUCACAUUGAGAAGUAUUUAAAUGUUGUAAACCAGAAUGUAUUAACGACUUCUGUUAAUGAUGAGAGCUUAUAUACUCCCCAGGCUUCCAAAUGGUUACUUCCAACUGUAAUUGAUCAGAAAUCAUUUAUUUUCCCUCAGGAAUCUGAGGG